UGGGGAAUAUUGGACAAUGGGCGAAAGCCUGAUCCAGCCAUGCCGCGUGUAUGAAGAAGGCCUUCGGGUUGUAAAGUACUUUCAGCGGGGAGGAAGGUGUUGAGGCUAAUAACCUCAGCAAUUGACGUUACCCGCAGAAGAAGCACCGGCUAACUCCGUGCCAGCAGCCGCGGUAAUACGGAGGGUGCAAGCGUUAAUCGGAAUUACUGGGCGUAAAGCGCACGCAGGCGGUCUGUCAAGUCGGAUGUGAAAUCCCCGGGCUCAACCUGGGAACUGCAUUCGAAACUGGCAGGCUAGAGUCUUGUAGAGGGGGGUAGAAUUCCAGGUGUAGCGGUGAAAUGCGUAGAGAUCUGGAGGAAUACCGGUGGCGAAGGCGGCCCCCUGGACAAAGACUGACGCUCAGGUGCGAAAGCGUGGGGAGCAAACA
rnacentral:rRNA from 1 species